UACCAAGAUGGCAUCUUGUCCAUAUUUCGCCACAGUUCCUAUCUAUGAGCCUGGUUUCUUCUUCACACUAGUAAGAUUGGAAAAGCAAAAGCUGGCAGGCUGACAGAGGCAGCCUCAGGACGGACUUUCUGGCUACUGACCAUUUUGCUGUGGCUUACCCGGAUUGUGUGUUGGUGUGAGAUCAACCAUGAGUUCUGUUGCAGUUUUGACCCAAGAGAGUUUUGCUGAACACCGAAGUGGGCUGGUUCCACAACAAAUCAAAGUGGCCGCGUUAAAUUCCGAGGAGGAGAGCGACCCUCUGACCUACAAGGAUGCCUUCCCGCCACUUCCUGAGAAAGCAGCUUGCUUGGAGAGUGCCCGGGAACCCACUGCAGCCUGGAGCAACAAGAUCCGGCCCAUCAAGGGCUCUGUCAUCACUCAGGUGUUCCAUGUGCCCCUAGAGGAAAGAAAAUAUAAGGACAUGAAUCAAUUUGGAGAAGGUGAACAAGCAAAAAUCUGCCUUGAGAUCAUGCAGAGGACCGGUGCUCACUUGGAGCUCUCUUUGGCCAAAGACCAAGGCCUCUCCAUCAUGGUCUCAGGGAAGCUAGAUGCUGUCAUGAAAGCCCGGAAGGACAUCGUUGCUAGAUUGCAGACUCAGGCCUCAGCAACAGUUCCCAUUCCUAGGGAGCACCACCGCUUUGUUAUUGGCAAAAAUGGGGAGAAACUGCAAGACUUAGAGCUAAAAACUGCAACCAAAAUCCAGAUCCCACGCCCAGAAGACUCCAGCAAUCAGAUCAAGAUCACUGGCACCAAAGAGGGCAUAGAGAAAGCUCGCCAUGAAGUCCUCCUCAUCUCUGCUGAGCAGGACAAGCGUGCUGUGGAGAGACUAGAAGUGGAGAAGGCCUUCCAUCCCUUCAUCACAGGGCCAUACAAUAGGCUUGUGGGUGAGAUCAUGCAGGAGAUGGGGACACACAUCAAUAUCCCUCCACCCAGUGUCAGCUGGACGGAGAUCAUCUUCACUGGGGAGAAGGAGCAAUUAGCUCAGGCAGUGGCUCCAAUCAAGAAGAUUUAUGAGGAGAAGAAAAAGAAGACCACGACCAUCGCAGUGGAGGUGAGGAAAUCACAGCAUAAGUAUGUCAUUGGCCCGAAGGGCAACUCCCUACAGGAGAUCCUUGAGAAAACCGGUGUCUCUGUGGAGAUCCCACCCUCAGAGAGCACCUCUGAAACUGUGGUUCUUCAAGGCGAGCCAGAGAAGUUGGGGCACGCAUUGACAGAAGUCUAUGCCAAGGCUAACAGUUUCACAGUCUCCUCAGUCUCUGCCCCUUCCUGGCCCCACCGUUUCAUUAUUGGUAAGAAAGGGCAGAACCUGGCCAGAAUCACUCAGCAGAUGCCAAAGGUUCACAUCGAAUUCACAGAAGGUGAGGACAAGAUCACCCUGGAAGGUCCCACAGAGGAUGUAAAUGUGGCCCAGGAGCAGAUUGAAAGCAUGGUCAAAGACCUGAUUAACUGGAUGGACUACAUGGAGAUCAACAUUGACCACAGGUUCCACAGACACCUCAUUGGGAAGAGUGGCGCCAACAUAAACAGAAUCAAAGACCAGUACAAGGUGUCUGUGCGCAUCCCCCUGACAGUGAGAAGAGCAACCUGAUUCGCAUCGAGGGGGACCCCCAAGGUGUGCAGCAGGCCAAGAGGGAGCUUCUGGAGCUCGCGUCUCGCAUGGAAAAUGAGCGUACCAAGGAUUUAAUCAUCGAGCAGACAUUUCAUCUCACAAUCAUAGGGCAGAAAUGUGAACGGAUCCGUGAAAUUCGUGAUAAAUUCCCAGAGGUUAUCAACAACUUUCCAGACCCAGCACAAAAAAGUGGCAUUGUCCAACUCAGAGGGCCCAAGAAUGAAGUGGAAAAAUGCACCAAGUAUAUGCAGAAGAUGGUGGCAGACCUGGUGGAAAAUAGCUACUCGAUUUCUGUUCCGACUUCAAACAGUUCCACAAGAACAUCAUUGGCAAAGGAGGUGCAAACAUUAAGAAGAUCCGUGAAGAAAGCAACACCAAGAUUGACCUUCCAGCAGAGAACAGCAACUCUGAGACCAUCGUCAUCACAGGCAAGCAUGCCAACUGUGAGGCUGCGCGGAGUCGGAUUCUGUCCAUCCAAAAGGACCUGGCCAACAUAGCCAAGGUGGAGGUCUCAAUCCCGGCCAAGCUGCACAACUCUCUCAUUGGCACAAAGGGCCAUCUGAUCCACUCCAUCAUGGAGGAGUGUGGUGGGGUCCACAUCCACUUUCCUAUGGAAGGUUCCGGAAGCGACACCGUUGUCAUCAGAGACCCUUCCUCAGAUGUGGAGAAGGCCAGAAAGCAGCUCCUGCACCUGGCUGAGGAGAAGCAAACCAAGAGUUUCACUGUGGACAUCCGAGCCAAGCCAGAGUAUCACAAAUUCCUUAUUGGCAAAGGGGGCGGCAAAAUCCGCAAGGUGUGUGACAGCACCGGAGCCCCCAUCAUCUUCCCAGCCACAGAGGACAAGGACCAGGACCUGAUCACCAUCAUAGGAAAGGAGGACGCUGUCCGGGAGGCUCAGCGAGAGCUGGAGGCCCUGAUCCAGAACCUGGACAACGUAGUCGAAGACUACAUGCUGGUAGACCCCAAGAGCCACCGCCAUUUUGUCAUCAGAAGGGGCCAGGUGCUGAGAGAGAUUGCCGAGGAGUAUGGCGGGGUGAUGGUCAGCUUCCCACGCUUGGGCACACAGAGUGACAGGGUCACCCUCAAAGGUGCCAAGGACUAUGUGGAAGCAGCCAAGAAACGCAUCCGGGAGAUCACCGAGGACCUGGAGGCUCAAGUGACUGUGGAGUGUGCUAUUCCCCAGAAAUUCCAUCGAUCUGUCAUGGGCCCCAAAGGUUCUAGAAUCCAGCAGAUCACCCAGGAUUACAGUGUCCAGAUCAAGUUCCCAGACAGAGAGGAAACCCCUGUUCAUGGCAUGGAACCUGCCACCCAGGAGAAUGGAGAUGAAGUCAGCGAGAGCAGAGAGGCUGACCCCAGCUCACCCAGGAGGUAUGACAUCAUCACCAUCUCUGGCCGAAAGGAGAAGUGUGAGGCUGCCGAGAAAGCUUUGGAGGGCCUUGUUCCAGUCACCACUGAAGUGGAGGUACCCUUUGAUCUCCACCAUUACAUCAUUGGGCACAAGGGGAGUGGGAUCCGCAAAAUGAUGGAUGAGUUUGAGGUGAAUAUUCAUGUCUAGAAUAUUCAUGUCUAGUCUGAUGUCAUCGCCAUCACAGGCCUUGCUGCAAAUCUGGACAGGGCCAAGGUGGGGCUGCUAGAGCGCGUGAAGGAGCUGCAGGCUGAGCAAGAAGACCGGGCUCUAAGGAGCUUCAAACUGAAUGUCAUCGUAGACCCCAAAUACCAUCCCAAGAUCAUUGGGAGGAAAGGGGCAGUGAUCACCCAAAUCAGACUGGAGCAUGACGUGAACAUCCAGUUUCCGGAUAAGGAUGAUGGGGGCCAGCCCCAGGACCAAAUCACCAUCACCGGCUAUGAGAAGAACACAGAAGCUGCCCGGGAUGCCAUUUUGAAGAUCGUGGGGAAGCUUGAGCAGAUGGUAUCUGAGGACGUCCCCCUAGACCACCGUGUCCAUGCCCGCAUCAUCCGUGCCCGGGGCAAAGCCAUCCGAAAAAUCAUGGAUGAGUUCAAGGUAGACAUUCGCUUCCCCCAGAGUGGAGCUCCAGACCCCAACUGUGUCACUGUGACGGGGCUCCCAGAGAACUUGGAGGAGGCCAUCGACCACAGCCUCAACCUCGAAGAAGACUACCUGGCUGACAUGGUAGACAGCGAGGCACUACAGGUUUACAUGAAACCCCUGGCACAUGAAGAGGCCAAGGCCCCAUCCAAGGGCUUUGUGGUGCGGGAUGCUCCCUGGGCCAGCAGCAAUGAGAAGGCUCCUGACAUGAGCAGCUCUGAGGAAUUUCCCAGCUUUGGGGCACAGGUGGCCCCUAAGACCCUCCCCUGGGGUCCCAAGCGAUAAUGAUCAAAAAGCAGAAACCUUUCCAGCCUGCUGACCUGCACCCACCCACACAGUGGUUUGUCUCCACCUGACCCAGCGUCUGGACCCUCAUGACUUGUUGAUGCGCUUCCCUUCCCUGAGGUCUUGCGGUGAC